rnacentral:rRNA from 1 species
UGGCGGCAGGCUUACACAUGCAAGUCGAACGGUAACAUAAAGAAGCUUGCUUCUUUGAUGACGAGUGGCGGACGGGUGAGUAAUGCUUGGGAAUCUAGCUUAUGGAGGGGGAUAACUACGGGAAACUGUAGCUAAUACCGCGUAGAAUCGGGAGAUGAAAGUGUGGGACCUUCGGGCCACAUGCCAUAGGAUGAGCCCAAGUGGGAUUAGGUAGUUGGUGAGGUAAAGGCUCACCAAGCCGACGAUCUCUAGCUGGUCUGAGAGGAUGACCAGCCACACUGGGACUGAGACACGGCCCAGACUCCUACGGGAGGCAGCAGUGGGGAAUAUUGCGCAAUGGGGGCAACCCUGACGCAGCCAUGCCGCGUGAAUGAAGAAGGCCUUCGGGUUGUAAAGUUCUUUCGGUAGCGAGGAAGGCAUUUAGUUUAAUAAACUGGAUGAUUGACGUUAACUACAGAAGAAGCACCGGCUAACUCCGUGCCAGCAGCCGCGGUAAUACGGAGGGUGCGAGCGUUAAUCGGAAUAACUGGGCGUAAAGGGCACGCAGGCGGUGACUUAAGUGAGGUGUGAAAGCCCCGGGCUUAACCUGGGAAUUGCAUUUCAUACUGGGUCGCUAGAGUACUUUAGGGAGGGGUAGAAUUCCACGUGUAGCNGUGAAAUGC